UACAUAGGGGGCGAGCGUUAUCCGGAAUUAUUGGGCGUAAAGCGCGCGUAGGUGGUUCGGUAAGAUGGAAGUGAAAGCCCCGGGCUCAACCUGGGAACUGCUUUCAUAACUGCCGAGCUAGAGUACGGUAGAGGGUAGUGGAAUUUCCUGUGUAGCGGUGAAAUGCGUAGAUAUAGGAAGGAACACCAGUGGCGAAGGCGACUACCUGGACUGAUACUGACACUGAGGUGCGAAAGCGUGGGGAGCAAACAGG
rnacentral:rRNA from 1 species